rnacentral:rRNA from 1 species
GUACACACCGCCGUCGCUCCUACCGAUUGGGUGUGCUGGUGAAGUGUUCGGAUUGGCAGCUUAGGGUGGCAACACCUCAGGUCUGCCGAGAAGUUCCCUAAACCCUCCCACCUAGAGGAAGGAGAAGUCGUAACAAGGUUUCCGUAGGUGAACCUGCAGAAGGAUCA